rnacentral:tRNA from 1 species
AGUAAUUGAGGUUAGAACCAAAAAUGAUUUGAACUCAUUUUGAUCGUAGAUGGGUUACGACAGUUACUU